rnacentral:rRNA from 1 species
GUAGGUGGCAAGCGUUGUCCGGAAUUAUUGGGCGUAAAGCGCGCGCAGGCGGUCCUUUAAGUCUGAUGUGAAAGCCCACGGCUCAACCGUGGAGGGUCAUUGGAAACUGGGGGACUUGAGUACAGAAGAGGAAAGCGGAAUUCCAAGUGUAGCGGUGAAAUGCGUAGAGAUUUGGAGGAACACCAGUGGCGAAGGCGGCUUUCUGGUCUGUAACUGACGCUGAGGCGCGAAAGCGUGGGGAGCAAACAGGGAUUAGAUACCCUGGUAGUCCACGCCGUAAACGAUGAGUGCUAAGUGUUAGGGGGUUUCCCGCCCCCUUAGUGCUGCAGCUAACGCAUUAAGCACUCCGCCUGGGGAGUACGGCCCGCAAGGCUG